UAAAACCAUGACAGAAAUAAUCCCUAAAGCAGUGGAAGAAUGUUAUUUUCUCAGACGAGUCAUCCUUUACCUUAUUUCCGACCACCUGCCGAGUAUAUGUGUAGAGACAGUCAAAAGAAGCAUUUGACCCAGUCUGCUUUCUUCCAACUG